GAGUAAUCUUUGUGGUCGCCCCCUUCGACUACAUGAGAUAGAGAGGUCAUUGAAUUUAUCUUCUCCUUCACUAUUUCUUUGCCCUCGUGUCCCUAGAGGAACACAACUCUUUAUUCUAAUGGACGGUCUAUUUUAGUGGUGUAUAGAAUCUCUAGGGCCACAAUGCCUACUAUUUUGCAAUGGCUAACCCUUAGGGUGAGAGACACCAUGACCUCUGCAUGCACACCUCUCUUUGGUUGCUAGUGUAUAUCUGUGUAGUUUAACGGUGGUUUAAGCUCUCAAAGGAAGCUUGGCUUGGUUUUGGCCUUCCUAUUGCUCUUCUUAUCCUUUGUUUUGUGUAAGCCUUUUAUGGUGCCGUACACUAAAAUGGUGCUGUUACCUAUGGAGAAGCAAAGGCUGCGCUGUUGGCAACAAGCUAAUCUUUUAUUCCUUAGCUAGGGUUUUUCUAUGUUGGGCUUUUGGGCUGUUGUUUUGAGCUUUGGGCCUGGGCCUCCAAUUGGAAUUUUUCUUUUUUUGUUUAUCUAUGUUACUCUUUU
rnacentral:misc_RNA from 1 species